GAGUUGAGCCUGCGUCACGACGACGCUGGCGGCGUGCUCAUACAUGCAAGUCGAACGGGGUCCAAUCAGUGGCAACACUGAGGAAGACCUAGUGGCGAACGGGUGAGUAACACGUGAGAAACCUAUACCCGGUCUCUGGAAUAACAAGUGGAAACAUUUGCUAAUACCGGAUGCCGUCAUCACCUCUCCUGAGGAGAUGACGAAAGAUUUAUCGGAUCGGGCGGGUCUCGCGGCCUAUCAGCUAGUUGGUGGGGUAACGGCCUACCAAGGCAUCGACGGGUAGCUGGUCUGAGAGGAUGAUCAGCCACACUGGGACUGAGACACGGCCCAGACUCCUACGGGAGGCAGCAGUAGGGGAAUCUUGCGCAAUGGGCGAAAGCCUGACGCAGCAACGCCGCGUGCGGGAAGAAGGCUCUCGGGUUGUAAACCGCUUUCAGUAGGAACGAAUUUGACGGUACCUGCAGAAGAAGGUGCGGCCAACUACGUG
rnacentral:rRNA from 1 species